GAGGAAACCAAAUUUUGUGUUUCCUCGGAAUAUCCUCGGAAAUUCCUCGGGAUAUUCCGAGGAUUUCAUUUUCCGUCGGAAUGUCCGUCAGAAUACCGCUGUUUUCUUGUAGUGAUGUACCUUAUGAGAAAGCCAAACCUCAGAGAGAAAAAAAAAGAGAAAGAGGUUUCUUUGGUGUUUGUUACUGCUUGGUGUUGAAGUACAUCCUGAAGCAUUGUCUGAUGGAGUCCGAUGUGGACUUAGUUUGGUGGCGUUGGAGUUGACGCUUUGUGUGGUGGAGUUAGCCAUAGUGUGGAGCUCGUGGUGAGCUGGUGCAUUGUAGAUGACAUGCUUAUGGUGUCACUAGUGUGUGUUGGGUGCUGACGUACUUGGUGAAGUAUCUUCAGAGAAAUUGAAGCCUAGACUCAGAGGGAGUUUAGCACAUGCGGUUUCAUUAUGAUGGUCUAUGAAGAUUACAAUUGUAGAAAACAGUGAGCUUCGGUACACUGGAUGGUGAUCUAUGCAUGUGUGUUUGAUUCCUAUUUUUCAUAGAGUAUUUACUUAGAAAAUAAUGGUAGGCGCAAGUAUGUGUUGUACCAUAUAUCAAUUGUAGGUUGAUUCUUGUUCUAAAUCAAUGAAAUAUGGAUAAAAUCCCGGAAAUGUAAGAAACGGACCUUGUUAACUAAUUUUAUGUGUUCUUACUUUCUGCAUUAAUUUCGAGCCUCAUCUGCACUAACACAUCAGCCUCUAAGUAAAAGACGUGUGCACUUCCUCUCCGGAACCUGGGCUAGAAACUUAGGGUGUUGGUGUUUCCGGCUGAAGAUAAGUCGUCGAAUAUAUAAUUUAUGGUACACCAUCAUGAACCAGCGGUUCAACCAAGACUAGUUUACAUCAAGAAUUCUUUAAUCGAAUUAACUUCGUUAACCAGAUGCACUUUCCCGGUUUGGAACAAGAUUACCAGAUUCUUUCUCACACUUGGACUUCAUAGUAUCGUUUGUAUGUAAACUAUUUUUUUACCAAAUUUAUGUGUCGAUUCCUAGAUUGUGAUUGAUAGAGAACUCAAUAUCAUUUGGUGAAUUGUGGCGUUGCGCCUUAAUUAAGCUUCUGAAAGAGAACAGACUACAGACAAGGUAUUUAAAGAUCAAAACCGAAACAUUAAUUAAAGAUAGGUCACAAAAAAGAUUAACCCAAAACGUUCAACACCUAAAAAUCUUUUGGCCUUUUUCUUAGUCGUCGUGUCAUUAUUACUCGACCCUGUUGGAUUCGAACCAAGCUUGCAACAUAAUUGUAAAUAAGUGGUCUCAAAAACAGUAAUCUAGUUUCUCCUACGGUUAUUUUCAUGAACCGGUUGUCCUCUCCAACAAUGUAUACCAUGUCCCUAUUCAUGCUGCGCCUAUAUUCCAGAUCGCAUAACACGGCCGCUUUCUUCUUCUCGUCCAUAAGAAAGUCGUCCCACUUGAAAAACGCUUUUGAGGAUUAUUCUCAUCUUGUUCCACUGACAAAAACUUGCUCCACGACAAAUCUUUUGUCUGACCAAUAUUAUCAUCUGUCGUCAUCCAUAUCUCAAUGUUUUUUAGUGGACGGGAAAUGUUGCUAUAUAAUACAGACAGCCCUUCUUCUCUAACAACUGAGAGAGCUCUAGGAACACAAUCCUCACCAAAAUCGGAAAAGGAAUAGACAUCCACUUAAACCUCUCUGCAGAAAAAUCGAAACUAAGUAAGCGAUCUUCUUCAUAUUUUUUAUCGGCAAUCCAAUAAAGUAUUCCCCUUCAAAGACACUCCCGUUGAUAUUAUGGUUCCUUUUUUGAAAAUGAGAUCAUCAAGAUCCCUCCACCAAUGAGACCCAAAAUCAUAGUUGCUACAUUUAAUAACUCGAUGUUUUAGGGCAAGCUUAUCCCAGCUGUACCUUGUUUGAUCGGGAAAAGGUACUAAACGGCGAGACGUUUGGUUUUAAAUGUGGGUUAAGCAAAUAUGUCUUAUAGAUGGUCGGAAAAGCGUUUAGUCGGUUACAAGGAAAGGAGAUGCGUAAGAGAAAGGAUACAAUACGGCAAGAGAAUAAAGGUAAAACCUUAAUCUAGCCGCCGGUAUGGGUGGGUGAUUUCGGAUCCUCUUUACGUCAGCACCCUCCUCUCCUUAUAUAGCUGACCUGGUGCUCCUUAGUGACCUAGCUCGCGUCGUCUUCGUGGGCUUUUAACUCGUUGGGCCGAGAAGUCCAUGUUGCUUCGAGGAGCCGCCGACACUAGUAGAAAACUUCGAAAUACACACGUUUUUGACACAGUAGGAUCGUGACUUAUUUUGUGUUAGUCACGACAAAGUCACAUUUAGUCACGAAAUAGGACAACGUGACAAUCUGUGUCUUUUUCAUGGCAAAAUAGACACGAAUCGGUCACAUAUGUUUUCGUGACUAAACGUAGUCACGAUUUGUCACAAACUAUUCGUGACUAAAAUGUCACGUUUUUGAAACCGUGUAUAAACCGUGGCUUUAAGAGUCACGAAAUGACACUAGAUAAACCGUGACCAAGACAAUGUCUAAUCAAAUAAUCGUAAACUUUAGCCUCACUUUAUUUCGUGAUUAAAGUGAGACUUUUCCAACAAGAAAAUGUCAUAGACUUUACAUCAAAGUCAGAAAACGGGACUGUUUUGGCUGGGAAUAUAUUCGAAUUUGGUUGGUCACAGUAGCCAUCGUGACAAAAACAUGUCAUAUCUAGUCACUGUUUCAUUAUUGUGACAAUUUCCGUGACUAAAACAACACAAAACAAACACUUUCGUGGAAAUGAAGAACACAAUAUCAAACAAAGAAAACCUCUCCCCUCAAUAUUUUUUUGUGUUCUUGACAAAUUAGUGAACGUCUUUUCUCAACUCUUUCUUGUGUAUUCCAUAAUUUCAAUGUCUCAUUUCUUUUAAUCAAGAGAGUGGAUGGAUCGACAUUUGGAUCCAAUCCGAAAUUGUGUUUCUGAAGAAUUUAUGGAGGGAAUUGAAGUGUUUCUUGCUUUUGCUUGUAAUCAAGAGUCUUACCAAGGAACAAGCACUAUGUUGUGUCCGUGUGCACGAUGCAAGAACCGGAAACAACGCGAUGCAAAGACGGUUUCUAAACAUCUUUUCCGAGUAGGAUUUACGGGGAAUUAUUAUGUUUGGUCAAGUCAUGGAGAAAGCUGUUACAAUGUUGGACAAUCUUCGGGGACAAGUCAUUUCUAUGGAGAAGAAGCACCAGAAGAAGCAGAAGGUACAAACUAUCAAAUUCCAAACGAAAUGUACAUUAAUAAUCCAUUUUCCAAUAUAAAUAUAAAUUUGGAAGAAGAGGUUGAAGUAACCUCUACAUUGGAGUAUGUGGUGGAAGCGGGUAAUGAAGAAACAUAUCACGAUAACGUUUUUAGAGCCUAUGAAGAUGCAAGCCAACCACUUUAUGACGGAUGUUCUGAAGGAAUUUCUCAACUAUACUUGGCUUCACGAUUGAUGAAAGCAAAAACCGAUUACAAUUUGCCGGAAGCUUGUAUCGAUGAGAUAUCACAAACUUUUAAAGAUGUUCUACCGAAGCCGAAUAAAGCGCCAUCAUCUUAUUAUGAAACGAAGAAGCUGGCCCGAUCACUUGGCCUCCCUGUUGUGAAGAUUGAUAUUUGUGAGGAUAACUGCAUGUUGUUUUGGAAAGAAGAUAAAGAGCUUUUGGCAUGUCGGUUUUGUGGUAAAGACAGAUACCAUCCAAACAGAGGAAGAGGAAAAAACCGUCCUAAACAGAGGAUGUUUUAUAUGCCGAUUACGGAACGGCUGAAACGUCUAUACCAAGUAGAGACAACUGCAUCACAUAUGCGAUGGCACGCAGAGCAUAAUUCUCCUGAAGGCGAAAUGCAUCACCCGUCAGAUGGAGCGGCAUGGAAGCAUUUUAAUGGGGUAUAUCCUCAAUUCGCUGCUGAAAGUCGUAACAUUUAUUUAGGCUUAUCGACAGAUGGAUUUAAUCCUAUCGGUAUGAAUGGUGAAGCACAUUCGAUUUGGCCCGUUAUCGUAACUCCAUAUAACUUACCACCUGGUAUGUGUAUGAAAAGGAAAUAUUUAUAUCUGUCGAUACUAGUUCCCGGGCCAAAACAUCCGAAAAAAAGUAUAGAUAUUUAUCUUCAGCCGCUGAUUGGAGAAUUACAAAGUUUAUGGAGUGAGGGGGUGGAAGCUUAUGAUAUCUCAAAGAAAGAAAGAUUCACAAUGCGAGCUGCACUGAUGUGGACAAUAAGCGACUUUCCAGCAUAUGCAAUGCUUUCUGGUUGGAUGACGCACGGUAGAUUAGCGUGUCCAUAUUGUUUAGAUGAUACAAAGGCUUUUUGGUUACAAAAUGGAAGGAAACAUAGUUGGUUUGAUUGUCACAGAAUGUUUUUGCCUCAGAAUCAUCCUUACCGGCGAAAUGUUAACACGUUUCGGCGGGGACAAACAGUAACAGAUGAUCCACCCCCGUGGUUGAUUGGAGAAGAAAUUCUUCGUGAAAGAAUAAACAACAUUAAGGGGUUGUCCAAAACAGUUGAUUGUGGAGGAAAAGGCCACGAGAAGGCUGCACAGACGAUAUCUGGCUAUGGAAAGGAUCAUAACUGGGUGAAGAAGAGUAUUUUUUGGGAUUUGCCAUAUUGGGAGUACCUUCUUCUUCGACACAACAUUGACUUCAUGCAUGUGGAGAAAAACUUUUUUGAUAAUCUCACCAACACUGUGUUGAAUGUUCCUGGAAAGACGAAAGAUAACAUUAAAUCGAGGAUGGAUCUCCCUAAUAUAUGUAGAAGACAAUCUCUACAUUUAAACGAAGAUGGAACUAUGCCUGUGCCGAUAUUUAGGUUGUCAAAUGAAGAAAUAAGGCAAUUUCUCUCAUUGCUGAAGAAUGAUAUAAAAUUUCCAGAUGGAUACGCUUCAAAAUUUAGUCGGUGCAUUGAUGAAUCAAAUAUGAAGCUAUCAGGGUUGAAAAGUCAUGAUUGUCAUGUUAUUAUGCAACGUCUUUAUCCAUUUGCAUUUCGUGAACUCCUUCCGAAACAUGUUCAUACCGCAAUUUCAGGUUAUUACUUAAUUAUAAGAUUUGUUGAACUAUAUUUUUUUUAUUUAAUAUUUCUUACGUACUAAUAAUUGUAUUUAAAUUUGCAGAGAUUGCACUUUUCUUUCGUGAUAUCUCAGCAAAGAUAUUGCGCACCGAAGAUGUUGUCCUUUUGAAAGAAAAUAUAGGGGUGAAGCUUUGUAACUUGGAGAAGAUAUUUCCUCCAUCGUUCUUUGAUGUUAUGGAACAUCUUCCUGUGCAUCUACCAGAUGAAGCUGCUUUAGGUGGUCCUGUCCAAUAUAGAUGGAUGUAUGUCUUCGAAAGGUACAUGUAUCAUCUGAAAAAGAUGGUAAAAAACAAGGCAAAUAUUGCAGGGUCCAUUGUUGCACAAUGUUUGAAUGAGGAGAUGUCAACUGCAUCUGCAACUUACUUUGGUCAUCCAGAAGUAAUAGAAGAAGCUUCCAUUCGAGGAAAAAUUCGAUUUACUUAUACUUAUGAAGAUGUGCCAAAUUUGUUUUAUCAUGAAGGUCGGGUCAGUGGAAAAGCCACCACGAGAUGGCUAACAGAUGUUGACUUCACCGUCUUGCAAACAUUUAUGUUGCUCAAUUGCGAUGUGUUUGAACCUUAUGAAAGGAUGUUUGAUGAGUUCGUGAUGGAAGCAAACCCAAAUAUUACUAGUAAUGAUCUACAGAGAGCGAAAGAUCAACAUUUUGCAAAAUGGGUGAAAGACUUCAUUACAAAUGCCAGUGAAACAUAUGAGUUCCCUUUAUGGAUGUUGGAUUUCAUUCAAGGACCGCAUCGUAACUAUACAUCGUGGCCGAUAUAUUUCUCGCGAGGAUAUUGCUUCCACACACAUAGCCAUGGCCAAGAUAAAAAUACCCAACAUUAUGGUGUGUAUGUACGUGGAACCACAGAGACCGAGUAUUAUGGGCUGAUAGAAGAAAUCAUGAUGAUCGAGUACGGUGGUGCUGUUGGCUUGAAAGCCAUGAUUUUCAAAUGCAAGUGGUUUGAUACAGUAGUGGGUCGUGGAAUGCGUAAGCAUAAGUCGGGGAUCGUUGAUGUGUCCCCCCGUGGCCAAUAUGAGAAAUAUGAUCCUUUUAUACUGUCUGGUAAUUGUGAUCAAGUAUGUUUCAUUCCUUAUCCGCGUGUGCGUCGUACAAAUGUGACAGACUGGUGGGCAUGCACAAAAGUUUUGCCUCGAGGGGUAAAUGAAACAUCUGAAGUUGCUCUAACAGCAUUGCAAGAUGAUACACGUAACGAUGUUGUUGCACCGAGUGAGAUGAUACGAAUUGAAUCAUAUGUCGUGGAAGAUGAUUCUGGUUAUGAUGUCUUACCGGUGGCUCCUCCUAACGAUGAAUAUGUAUCAGAAGACGAGUUAGAAGAUUCGUGUGCCGACUCUGAUUCGGACUCCGAUUCUGAUUAAGGUAAUAUGUAGUUGUGAUAUGUAUUUGAAAUUUGAAAUAUUAUUAAUAAAAUAAAUUUUGAUUAUCAUGCUUAUUUGAUUAUUACAAAUAUGUAUCUUGUUUAGGAGUUACAAUUUAGGGAUUAUAUUUUUAAAGGUUAUAGUUGAAAGGUUGUUGUUUAGUGGUUAUAGUUUGAGGGUUAGGGUUUAGGGAUUAUAGU